AUUAUCGAUGAUGAUGCACCAACUCCUUGUGAGCUGCUAUAUCAACUGUGCACUUGGUGCUCGUACGCUUUCCUUUCGGGGUUGGGCCUCUCUCUCUCUCUCUCUCUAGCUCUCUCGGGGGCGGGAGGGGGGCGAGGGCGGCUCAUUAAAUCGGAUCAAUGGCGGCCGCACGGCGCCUGGCGCGCGCGCGAGCAUCAYUUCACGGKUGCGCUGAUGCCGCGCUGGGUUUGGUAGUCGAGCGCCSUCCCGGGCCCCGUCUGGAGCUUCGGCGUGCGAGCUGUUUUCACCGCGUGUUGCUUCGGCGCGCGCAUUCUGUUUUUUAACCAAGCAAAUUUGCAGACUGAACUGUGGGCUUUUUCGAAAGCUUGUCUCUGAAUACAAUCAUGGACAACUUUCAACGGUGGAUCUCUUGGCUCGUGGAUCGAUGAAGAACGCAGCAAAACGCGAUAUGUAGUGUGAAUUGCAGAAUUCAGUGAAUCAUCGAAUCUUUGAACGCAAAUGGCGCCCCUGGGUAUUCCCAGGAGCAUGUCUGUCUCAGUGUCGUUUUCACCUCGAGCGCGCUUCGGCGCGGUGGUCUUGAGGCGUCUGAGUGGGGCGGCGCGCGCACGCUGUGCUUGCACACGCACGCGCGCAUCCGCGCUCAGUCCCUUGAAAUGCAGUGGCCGGACUCUCGAUUGCGCUGCACCGGGUCGCGACUCGCCCCGGACUGCUCGCACGGCUGAUGACGGCUUUUAGCCCGCCAACUUGUCGUGUCGCAGCGGCCGGUUUGAGUCGGAUCCAACGUGGCGUUGGGCGUCCGAACAAAGCCAGUACUGGAAGCGACUUCCGGCUCAUCUGCCUCACCGCGGAUGGACCACCUUUGACCUGAGAUCAGGCAAGACUACCCGCUGAAUUUAAGCAUAUUAAUAAGCGGAGGAAAGA
rnacentral:rRNA from 1 species